CCUGCUGCAACUUCGUCUCUUACCUUGAAUUAAUUUGGUACCCCCCCACCCCCUUGGAACCACUAUGGCAUCAAUAUAUAUGUGUGGGUCAAAACUGCCUUGUACAAGGGUGCUUCUUUUUGUCCUGAAGUAUGAAUGUGGUAUGUCAGAUAUUAUGUGUAUGGGCAUAAUAACCUUAUCCAGGGCACAUUUACUUAUUCUUUAUCGUAUAAAUCCUUAACCGUGCUAUCUCAGUACAGGUGGACUCAGAUCAUUUAUUCAAUAUUAAUAUUACCACAAACUCAAGAUGAGCAGAUAAUCCUGAAGAAGCUUCAGCAGUGCGUUGGAACCUCAGCUUCCAGACGUGAGGGCUGCAGGGUAAGGAGUACGUCUGAUUCUCUUUGGCUUCACAAGGUCUCCUUUUGGGGUCCUCGGCUUUCCAUCGAUGGCAGGUGGUUAGGCAUUAUUAUGGCCAUCAAAACACCUACCUGUUGAUAUUUUCUCCAACAAGUAUCUUUAUUUUCUUAAAACGGAGUUACAAAGGGUCGUCAAGAUCAACAAACGUUACUUCCCAUGGAGCAGAGGCAGGCUUGAUUCUGCAGUGG